rfam:Bacillus thermozeamaize isolate ZCTH02-B2 BIN02_NODE42513374849, whole genome shotgun sequence.
UCCAUCGCGAGGUGGAAUCUGAAGGAAGCUUAAGGCAAACGCUUGACCUGAGGUACACGAACCCAAUUCGAGGCUAGACUAGCCGGAUGAGUCUGCAACACAAGACGAAGUCCUAAGCCGCCAAGGGCUAAUCUGGUAGAUUGGGCAGGUACAUGAGCGGAAAGUCCACACC